rnacentral:lncRNA from 1 species
GUCCCACUCCUGCCCCUGACACUGUGGCACUGAGGCAGCUUUCCCAGGCAGUUUCCCAGAAUUCCUCAGGCCUCAACCCUACUUCCUCCUUUGGAGUCAUCUUUUCCAAAAUGGCUGCCCCCUCCAGGUUCCUUCUCCUACCAUCCUUUCUUGGAUCCUUUCCCACAGACGCGCAUGAACAUCACUGUGCUUUUAGUUGACUGCUCUCAGUGCCUCCCCUCCUAGACAGAAGCCCCUCUCAGGCUCACUCUCACCUCUGAGGUGAUGCUAAGAUCACCUGUUUAUCCUCAGGGCUGCUAGGAUAUAACAUGCUCAAGAAAUGCCUGUGGAAUAAUAAGAGAGGCCACUCUCGCACUCUCUUCCCAUCGGGGCAGGCACCUGUUGAAGAAAGAGAGGAUUUGAGAGGAAGGGGUCAGUGGGGUGGGGGGACAUCGAAGCUCAGAGACUGGCAUGGAGGGCUGCCCACCCCCGCCUAUAAAAAGAGAAGCCCCUAGGAAAGGCAUCGACAGCCCACCCAGAGCAGUGUCUCUGAUGAGGAAGGACCAGUGUGGACGCCAGCAUUCUUCCUGGAGCAGCAUCUGUCUGGACAGGGUUGUUCUCUGCUGGUGCCAGCCCUGACAUCAUCCUGCAAGCUUGUCACACCGGUUCCUAUCCAGCUACAAAGGCCUCUCCUUGCUCCCUGCUCACACCAGCCAGCCCAUCAUGGACUGCUGUAUUGCAUAUAUCUGCGCGGCAUCAUGGUGAGGCUGGAUCUCCAGGGAGGAGACAAGAGGAAAGAGAGAGGAGCCUUUCUGACUUAGAGGGGCCCUGUAGAUCAUGGCUGAUAGGAAAGCUGGUCAGGGAGCGUGGAGGAAUCACAGCUACUUUCAUGGCAUGUUACAAUUGAGGCACUUAUCUCAAAAUAUCAUCUGGACUCAUCACUAUUUUGAGACGACUGUAGUUGACAGGCCCAGUCUUCAGAUCUCGUUAACUCACAGUCUAAAAAAGAACAUAUAUAGGAUUAUCUCACAAUUUUAAAACAUUUUGAAAACUGUGCUGAGUGCCGUGUGGGUGUGCUUUGCAUUCCUCCUGUCUUUAAAAUGCUUUUUUUUGCAAACACUCUGAGUAACUCGGGGCUUCUCCAGAUUGCCGA